rnacentral:rRNA from 1 species
UACGUAGGUGGCGAGCGUUGUCCGGAAUUACUGGGUGUAAAGGGCGUGUAGGCGGGGAUGUAAGUCAGAUGUGAAAUACCGAGGCUUAACUUCGGGGCUGCAUCUGAAACUACGUUUCUUGAGUGUCGGAGAGGAAAGCGGAAUUCCCAGUGUAGCGGUGAAAUGCGUAGAUAUUGGGAGGAACACCAGUGGCGAAGGCGGCUUUCUGGACGAUAACUGACGCUGAGGCGCGAAAGCGUGGGGAGCAAACAGGAUUAGAUACCCUGGUAGUCCACGCUGUAAACGAUGGAUACUAGGUGUAGGAGGUAUCGACCCCUUCUGUGCCGGAGUUAACACAAUAAGUAUCCCACCUGGGGAGUACGGCCGCAAGGUUGAA